AGCAGUCGCCGCGGGAAUACGUAGGGCGCAAGCGUUGUCCGGAAUUAUUGGGCGUAAAGAGCUCGUAGGCGGUCUGUCGCGUCUGGUGUGAAAUCCCGAGGCUCAACCUCGGGCUUGCAUCGGGUACGGGCAGACUAGAGUGCGGUAGGGGAGACUGGAAUUCCUGGUGUAGCGGUGGAAUGCGCAGAUAUCAGGAGGAACACCGAUGGCGAAGGCAGGUCUCUGGGCCGCAACUGACGCUGAGGAGCGAAAGCAUGGGGAGCGAACAGGAUUAGAUACCCCAGUAGUCCCUGUCUCUUAUAC
rnacentral:rRNA from 1 species